UAUGUAGUCUUUUCAUUAGUUAUUUUCUUCAACCUGUUGUUGUUAUAAACAGUAUAUAAUUUAACAUUGCGGUUGUUUUGUUUACUGAUAAAUUGCACUUGUUCCCUCCCACUUUAUUUGCUACUGUCGCACUGUUUUUGGUUCAAAUUGUUGCGCAGUAGAAAUAUGUUGAUGGACAUUCAUAGUCGUCGUACUACUAGUACUCGACACGUAAUGGCACCGCCAUUUUAUUUGUUGAAAAUAAUGCUAUCAAAGUCCGUUGUCUUUGAUGAAGAUCGCAGCGAGAAAUUAACUCGUUUGUAUUGUGAACUAUAUGAAUUUUGAAGAAACAGAGGCUAUCAUUUGAUUAUGUCUAUCGAGAAUAAAUUCAAAAAUGUUAACGUAAAAUGAUUAAGAAUGAUGAAAAUUAAGUGUAUGUAUAGAGACAAUCGCAUUGCUAUGCAAUUGAUGAAACACAGAAUUUGGUGUUUCAUUGCUCAUUUAUCUUCACAAUAUUCGAUCAAAUGGUGUUUCAGUAUACGAUGAUAUUUCCUUUACCUAGCUUAUGCAUAAUUGUUGAUUUGGUUAUCAAACUAAUCUGUAAAACGACCUGUGUUUGAUAAUAAGUAAGCCUUGGUGAGAAAAAGAUUUAAAUUCAGGCAGUUUUGUAAUUUGUCAGCAAGUACACCAAAAUAUAAUUCUGCCUUUUCUUUGAUCAAAAUUAAGGAUAAUAUUGCAGAUAUAUACAUGUAGGUAUGAUACAGUGUCAGAUUUUUUUUCUUUGGGAGUGUUCUGUUGAUAAUACAGUUAUUUUCGGCGCAAAUUAGAGAACAAGACUCCCGAAGCAUGACAUUGGAUAGCGGAGAUGCGAUAGAGCUACUCAUUAAAGCAUUAUCUUGUUCAUUUUUAUACAUUUUUCUCCUACAUUCGGUAAGCGUAUAUACAUUUACGACGGUAAAAACCAAAAUUAGUAUGGAAAAACCAUAUUCUAUAGGUCUUUUGAUUCCGUUUUGUAUUUCAGGUCGUUCGUGAAAACAGUAUUUACCGCGGGCAUAAGGAAAUAUGUAUUUAUAUUACAUGAAUCAAGUCCAGUUUCUAGAUAUCUUCAAAAUAGCAUUGCGAGAAAGCCGCUUGGUGGAAGCCUUAAAUAUACGUACAUGUACACAGUUUGUCCACAGUUUUUAAAUUUUUAGAGACAUUGUGACAAAAUAUUCUUUUCAAAAGUACUUUGAUUUCGCGAAUUUAUUUAACUUAAAUUAUUGUGUUUAUAUACAUGCAAUACAUGUUAUUUUGUGAGAUCAUAGUAUAUCUGUGUACAUGUAUACAUAAAGCAUGAAUGGUCAUGGCCAUUUUUUAUACUUUAAGAGUUCAUUUUUAAGAAGCAUAGUUAAACUCAACCCUGUUUAAUGAUAUAGGAAAACACUUAAAUUCUACAAUACUAAAACAUUUGGAAAUUUCUUAUUCAAAUAAUAUAUAUAGUUUAUGUUUAGAAAAAUAAUGUUUCAAGUUUUUAAGUGGAUAAGGUGGGCAGUUUUUUUUUACCACCCAACCUCCUGAAAUCUCCAAAUAUAGACGUCUUUCUUUAUUGUAUAAUAAUGCCAUCACGCUACCAUCCUCAGGGAAAAGCCGCCAUUGCUCUUUUAACAGAGGUUUCCUUAUAUGGCUAUCGCUUGAUGGAGAUCAAUACUUCACUGAUGCGCCAGCCUGUGUACUAUGGCAAGUUGGUUAGGUACAAGAGACAGAAAGACUGCAUUUUUGUUCAAGGUUGUAGUUGUCCACCCCUCAAAGUUUUUAAAUUAAAAUGGACUUGAUGCAUUUCUGAGCAAAAGAAAUGGCGAUGAUUUAAUUUUCUAUAUUAUAACUGGUUUCACCAGCAGAGUGAACGCAUGCCUUGCCCUUAUAGUAUAAAAAAGGUGUGAUGUUCGAGCUUGUAAGAAUAGUAUGCAGUAGUUGACCGGGUACGAUGCGACAUAUCAUUUGCUGGACCAUUAGGCUUAAAUUUUGUCGAAAGCCCGUGGCUGCAUUACUAUCUUCUGGUCAGACAAAUCAUAUGUUGCUCAAGACAAAAAGGCAGGAAUUUCAACGUUAUAGUUAUCGUGUGAGAACCAUAUCUUAUUCCAUGUCAUUGUUGAUUAGUAAUUCGCUAACAAUAUGUUUGUGAUUAAAAAUAUGAAUUAUAAACUUUGUCUAGUGUACAUAAACUUUAUAUUAAUAAGAAUUUUAUCGAAAAUAAAGACUUAAUUACCAAAAUGCUCUUCAGUAUUUCGUUAAAAAUAUCUUUGUACACUUGUUUCUCGCUGCAUUAUUUUGAAUAGUGAUAAAUACGAUGUAAUGAAAUACAGUAUUUC
rnacentral:sRNA from 1 species